UACACUCACCGGCCACUGUAUCAGGUACACCAUGUCACCUGCUUCUUUAUUGGUUUUCUGCAUUUUACCAGGUGGGAAAUCAUAUUUGGUAACUCCAAAAUCUUGUAUUGUAUUUUGAAACAAAACUGGAUUGUCAGAGGUCAGAGGAUAAUGGACAGACUACUUUGUGCCGAUAAGAAGGAAGUCAGAUAACCACAGGUAUGCAGAAGAGCAUCUUUAAGCACACAAAACAGAGAACCCGGAGGCAGAUGAGCUACAGCAGCAGAAGACCACACCAGGUGUCACUCCUGUCAGCUAAGACCAGGAAACUAAAACUUCACACGUGGCUUACCAAAACUGAGAAGCAGAAAACUGCAAACACAUUGCCCAGUCAGAAGAGCCUUGAUUUCUGUUGCAACGUUCGGAUGAUAGGCUCUCAAUUUGGCAUAAAAAACAUGAACGCAUGGGUCCAUCCUGCUUUGUACCAGCAGUUCGGACUCAGUAUCGACUGAGCAUUGUUUAAACACCCCAGCUUGCCUGUAUAUCAUUACUGACCAUGCUCAUCCCUUUUAUUACCAGUGUAUCCAUCGUGCCUGUAUAACACACGUCACUAAACUCAAUCAUCUCAAACUGGUUCCUUGAACAUGAGAAUGAGCUCACUGUCAGCAGAUCUCAAUCUGUUUGGGAUGUGGUGGAACAGGACAUCGUCAUCUUGGAUUUCAGCCAAUAAAUCUGCUGCAGCUUUGUGAUGUCAUCAUGUUAAUAUGUGCCAGAAUCUCUGAGGAAUGUUUCCAGCACCUUGUCAAAUCUAUGCCACAAAGAAUUGAGGAAGUUCUUAAGGCAAAACUGUCUCCAUUAGUUACUGGCAAGGUGUAACUAAUGAAGUGACUACCAAGUUUAUUUAUUUUAUAUACAUAUAAAAGUAGCUAGAUAUAAGCGUGCACGCAUAUAUAAAUAUUGCAGACUUUCUUCGGCAAUUACCACAUGGGUGUUGUCGCCUUCCUCCAGUCUCCAUCUUGUUGCACUUCUACCAAAGUUACAUAACCCUCCACAGGAAAUAUGGGUCGCAGAGCAGGAACUAGUACUUGUCAGGCAAUCUUUUAAUGACGAAGCCUAGCAUCAGAUUCCUAACAUAUGACUUUUACUUUACUAAUGGAUGUAUUUCUAUUAAAAUAUGUUUUGCUGUAUGUACCUGAUAUUUCACACCGUUCUGUUCAGCAGAUGAAAACAGAGGGGGGUGGGGGGGGGUGUUUGUUUGUUUUAUUAAACUGGAAACUUGUUAUUCCACUUCCUCACUCGCUUUCACUUUCACACAAGCCGUGGGAGCUCCUCUCGUGCGGUUUAAUGCUCUUGUAAUGUUUCUGAAUUGAUGUUGAGUUUCUUUGUUUGUUUGUUUUUUUUACCUAUCUAACAGCUAACAUGUCAACAAUCAAUUCAGGAUACAUUUUUAAAUUAAGGCAUUACUUUUAUCAAUCCCCUUAUCACUUUCGGCACAUAAAAUUCUUACCAAUCCGGAUCCACGUUGCCUACAUUUGAGAGGGCGUAAAAGGCACAAAACCAUACAGGUAAGUGUUUUAUUUAGACAAUGACAACAUUUGGAUAUAUCCACUCGAACUCUAGCCACAGUAAAUCUUGCUGCAACUGCAGCCAACCUGGAGCGUGCACACUUCUGCUGGCAUGAACAUUUCUCACUACACAGCGCACUGGGCCUUUGCUCUAUAGGUCUGUUGGACUUUUACAUCAAAAUAAUCAAAAAAAGUGUUGUGGGUGGGAAAUAGACCAAAAAAAACCAACAAAAAAAAAAAACACAGAGGCUGAAUGUUGGUGGCAGAAGAAUGUGUUGCAUUCCCUUGAACAGCACAGCGGGCGUCUUAUUUUAUAAGAACAAAACAAAAAAAACAA